rnacentral:rRNA from 1 species
AUGUCCGGCGUCUGCCUCCGCCGCCGCCUCUCCUCCACCUCCACCUCCAACACGCCACCCUCACCUUCCUGGUCACCCCAGGCCGCCUUUGCCGCGGCCACGGAGCGCGCCCGCGCCGGAACGCUCAGCCCUCAAGACGCACACCACCUGUUCGACGAAUUGUUUCGGCAGGCCACUCCGGUUCCCGAGCGCUCCCUUGAAGGAUUCCUUGCCGCCCUCGGCCGUGCUGCAUCCUCUGAAGCCUGCAGAGACGGCCCCUCCCUUGCCCUCACUCUCUUCAACCGUCUCUGCCGAGAAGAAGCCGGCCGGCGGGUGGCGCCGCCCACAAUCUACACCUACGGCAUCCUGAUGAACUGCUGCUGCCGCGUGCGUCGUCCAGACCUAGGGCUCGCCUUCUUCGGCCGCCUCCUAAGGACCGGCCUCAAAACAAAUGAGGUCGUCGCCAGCACCCUCCUCAAGUGCCUCUGCUGUGCAAAACGGGCAGAUGAAGCUGUGAACGUGCUGCUUCAUAGGAUGUCCGUCCUCGGCUGUGUGCCUAAUUCCUUCUCAUACAACAUAGUUCUAAAGAGCUUAUGUGAUGACAGCAGGAGCCAGCGAGCGCUCGGCCUGCUCCAGAUGAUGGCAAAAGGAGGUGUCUGCUCCCCCAACGUUCUGUCAUAUAACACAGUCAUCCACGGCUUCUUUAAGGAAGGUGAAAUAGACAAGGCCUGCAAUCUAUUCCAUGAAAUGACGAAGCAAGGGUUUGUGCCUAAUGUGGUGACAUAUAACUCGGUUAUCAAUGCAUUGUGCAAGGCCCGAGCAAUGGACAAUGCAGAGUCGUUCCUUCGGCAGAUGGUUGAUAACGGUGUUCCACCUGAUAAGGUGACAUAUACUAGCAUCAUCCAUGGAUAUUCCACUUUGGGCCGAUGGAAAGAGGCAACUAAAAUGUUCAGAGAAAUGACAAGCAGGGGUCUUAUACCAGAUAUUGUCACUCGGAACUCAUUCAUGGACUCACUUUGCAAGCAUGGAAGAAGCAAAGAAGCUGCAGAAAUUUUCUUUUCCAUGGCUGCAAGGGGCCACAAGCCUGAUAUCGUCUCCUACACUAUUCUUCUCCAUGGGUAUGGCAAUGAAGGAAGCUUUUCUGAUAUGAUGAGUCUCUUUAAUUCAAUGGAAGGCGGCGGUAUUGUGGCCGAUUGCCAAGUUUUCAACAUAUUAAUUGAUGCAUAUGCUAAACGAGGAAUGAUCGACGAAGCUAUGCUCAUAUUUACUGAAAUGCUAGGACAAGGAGUCAAUCCGAGUGUAGUCACCUACUCAACUCUGAUAGCUGCACUUUGCAGAACAGGUAGGCUAGCUGAUGCUAUGGAUAAGUUUAGUCAGAUGGUUGGUACGGGAGUACAACCGGACACAGUUGUUUAUCACUCCCUAAUUCAGGGUUUCUGUACACAUGGCGAUUUGGUCAAAGCGAAGGAAUUGAUUUCUGAAAUGAUGAAUAAAGGUAUUAUUUGUCCAAACAUUGCAUUCUUCAAUUCAAUAGUAGACAGUCUAUGCAAAGAAGGAAGGGUUAUGGAUGCACACCAUAUCUUUGACUUGGUUAAAGACAUAGGUGAGAAACCUGAUGCCAUCAUGUUUAAUACGCUAAUUGACGGAUAUUGCUUAGUUGGUGAGAUGGGCAAAGCAUUCAUGGUACUUGAUGUCAUGACAUCAGCUGGCAUUGAGCCUGAUGCCAUUACGUAUAGUACACUUGUCAGUGGAUAUUGUAAAAGUGGAAGGAUCGAUGAUGGGUUGAUUCUGUUCAGAGAAGAAAUGUUGCAUAAGAAAGUUAAACCAACAAUUGUUACAUAUAACAUCAUAUUGGAGGGGUUAUUUCGUGCUGGGAGAACAGUUGCUGCAAAGAAAAUGCUCCAUGAAAUUAUCGGAAGUGGGACACCUGUGAGCAUGCAUACAUACGACAUAUUUCUUAGAGGACUUUGUAGAAAUAAUUGCGCGGAUGAAGCGAUCGUCCUAUUCCAGAAAUCACGUGCAAUGAAUGUGAAGUUCAAUAUCACAACACUCAAUACCAUGAUUAAUGCAUUCUACAAGGGUGACAGAAGAGAAGAAGCUAAUGAUUUGUUUGCUGCAUUACCAGCCAGCGGGUUGGUGCCUAAUGCUUCCACUUACGGAGUAAUGAUACAAAACCUUCUAAAAGAAGGAGCAGUGGAGGAAGCUGACAAUAUGUUCUCAUCAAUGGAGAAGAGUGGUUGUGCUCCUAGCUCUCGUCUUGUGAAUGAUGUCAUUAGAACUUUAUUGGAAAAGGGGGAGAUAGUCAAGGCCGGAAAAUAUAUGUCUAAAGUUUAUGGGAAGAGCCUAUCACUUGAUGCUUCAACUAGUUCGUUGUUGUUGUCUCUCUUUUCAGGGAAUGGGAAAUAUCGGGAACAAAUACAAUUGCUCCCUGCAAAGUACCAGUUUUUCGGUGGAAUCAGUUGA